rnacentral:rRNA from 1 species
AUUGAACGCUGGCGGCAGGCCUAACACAUGCAAGUCGAGCGGCAGCGGGAAAGUAGCUUGCUACUUUUGCCGGCGAGCGGCGGACGGGUGAGUAAUGCCUGGGAAAUUGCCCAGUCGAGGGGGAUAACAGUUGGAAACGACUGCUAAUACCGCAUACGCCCUACGGGGGAAAGCAGGGGACCUUCGGGCCUUGCGCGGUUGGAUAUGCCCGGGUGGGAUUAGCUAGUUGGUGAGGUAAUGGCUCACCAAGGCGACGAUCCCUAGCUGGUCUGAGGGGAUGAUCAGCCACACUGGAACUGAGACACGGUCCAGACUCCUACGGGAGGCAGCAGUGGGGAAUAUUGCACAAUGGGGGAAACCCUGAUGCAGCCAUGCCGCGUGUGUGAAGAAGGCCUUCGGGUUGUAAAGCACUUUCAGCGAGGAGGAAAGGUUGAUGCCUAAUACGCAUCAACUGUGACGUUACUCGCAGAAGAAGCACCGGCUAACUCCGUGCCAGCCGCCGCGGUAA